ACCGGCCACACUGGGACUGAGACACGGCCCAGACUCCUACGGGAGGCAGCAGUGGGGAAUAUUGCACAAUGGGCGGAAGCCUGAUGCAGCAACGCCGCGUGGGGGAUGACGGCCUUCGGGUUGUAAACCUCUUUUAGCAAGGAAGAAGCUUUUGUGACGGUACUUGCAGAAAAAGCGCCGGCUAACUACGUGCCAGCAGCCGCGGUAAUACGUAGGGCGCAAGCGUUAUCCGGAAUUAUUGGGCGUAAAGAGCUCGUAGGCGGUUUGUCGCGUCUGCUGUGAAAUCCCGAGGCUCAACCUCGGGCCUGCAGUGGGUACGGGCAGACUAGAGUGCGGUAGGGGAGAUUGGAAUUCCUGGUGUAGCGGUGGAAUGCGCAGAUAUCAGGAGGAACACCGAUGGCGAAGGCAGAUCUCUGGGCCGUAACUGACGCUGAGGAGCGAAAGGGUGGGGAGCAAACAGGCUUAGAUACCCUGGUAGUCCACCCCGUAAACGUUGGGAACUAGUUGUGGGGUCCUUUCCACGGAUUCCGUGACGCAGCUAACGCAUUAAGUUCCCCGCCUGGGGAGUACGGCCGCAAGGCUAAAACUCAAAGGAAUUGACGGGGACCCGCACAAGCGGCGGAGCAUGCGGAUUAAUUCGAUGCAACGCGAAGAACCUUACCAAGGCUUGACAUACACGGGAACGCCCUAGAGAUAGGGAACUCUUUGGACACUCGUGAACAGGUGGUGCAUGGUUGUCGUCAGCUCGUGUCGUGAGAUGUUKGGUUAAGUCCCGCAACGAGCGCAACCCUCGUUCUAUGUUGCCAGCACGUAAUGGUGGGAACUCAUGGGAUACUGCCGGGGUCAACUCGGAGGAAGGUGGGGAUGACGUCAAAUCAUCAUGCCCCUUAUGUCUUGGGCUUCUCGCAUGCUACAAUGGCCGGUACAAAGGGCUGCAAUACCGUGAGGUGGAGCGAAUCCCAAAAAGCCGGUCCCAGUUCGGAUUGAGGUCUGCAACUCGGCCUCAUGAAGUCGGAGUCGCUAGUAAUCGCAGAUCAG
rnacentral:rRNA from 1 species